CUCCCCAGCGCAGAAAUCGCCUCUCUCGGCCGCAAGGAAACGCGACGGCAGCGCUGGCGCCAGCAGCGCACGGGCAGGCGAGGUUAGCGGAGGGACUUGCUGCAGCUGGAGAAGGCACGCACGGUGGCAGUGUUUUGCUCAGCAGGCGGCCUGGGAAACCGCGAGCAGCAUGAGAGGCUGCAGAGCUCUCCUUCCUAUCGUCUACGAGGGGGUUUUCCCAGUGCAGCAGUAACAACAUCAAUAGAAAGACACCUGUAUAUAGCACAAAGGCUGAGGGCAGACUACAGAACAGUAUCUGGGCAUGAGCAGCUACAAGGUUUGGAUGCCUUCUCCCUCUUUAACCUCUCAAGCAGCUGGAGCUGCUCCCUCCCCUCAGCUUGGAUCUGGGAGCACGUAGUGCUCCACCCCUACGAUUCACACAUGUGCCUCUCCCUUUCCAGGCCCAGACCCGGCUCCCCUGCACCUACCGCUUGUCAUGUGAGACACUUUAGCGAGCUUCUUCAUGACAUUAUCGAGCCGUGAGUGAGUGCUGUCUAACUCGUGGGAGAAGUCAUCCAGCAUCCUGGGGACAGAGAAGCACAGUAUUGGUCAACAGGCAAAGCCACACGUGCCUUUGGGAUCGCUUGCUGCGCUCACACACACUGAUCAGAACACCUGGCUGAUCGGUGCAUCACAGAGUGGCAGAGAAAAGCAACACAGCACGAUCUCCUGAAAGCACCCAAGGGGAAAAAAAUCCUGCUGGAAGCAGCAGCUCGGCUUUGGUGGAAAGUGAGAAGUCAUGGGGAUGCCUGUCAGACUGGUCCCCCAACUCUGCACAUCUCUCAAAGGUGAGCAGUGGGGGUUUCCUCCUUUGAAGAUGAAAGUCUUGUUUAUAAUCCAUGAUUAGCAGUGAAUGUGUAGAUCGAGGUGCCAGUUUGGACUUUAAAUCCCUUCUCUUGCUGAGGGCUUGCACUUGAAGCUAAAAUCUUGUUCCACUCCGGUAUCAAGCAGGACUGAGAUUUGCAAUUGCUUUUAAGGUGCUUUUUAAAUGCUACAGAAGUGACAUCUCCAGUUCCUCCACACAGCAACUGUAAUAGAUCUGAAAGCCUUUCUGUAGCUGUGCUUUGUCAGCGCCAAGAACCCACCUGAAGACAAAGCACAUCCAGGAUCAAAGCUAUCCCAGCCAUCUCCAGUGAGUAGAACUUAAAAACUUAACACCCUUAAAAGCACGGAGAACAAAGAGCUGUAGAAAAAAAAAAAGCCAUAUUGCCUUAAUUAUCUGCUUGCAAGCACUGAUGGCUUAUGUGGUGACCUGGAAACAGAUGCACCACACCAACCUGCUGUGGCCAGACUUCACACAGGAGGUGCUUUGGAGUUCCUCCUACCCACCAGAGACAUCACAAGGGCCCUCAGCCCUCCAGCCUCUUGUCAGCCAAACAAGGGGGGUUUAGGCACAAACCCUUCAAGUGUCUGUUAGUCUGCACAACUGAGAACUUCAUGCACUUCUUUGCAAAGGAAAGAAAUCUAAUUUAUAUGUAAAUGGGUGGAUACAAGCUACUUUGUGGGCUACCCUUUAACCCUGUGUGUGGGUGAGGAUUAUUUUUAGCUUUAACUAUGAAUGCAGCUCUGUGUGGCAAGGCUGAGCUCUGAGCUCCCGAGUCACACAGCUCCAUGCAGUUGUCUGGGGUAGCACAAAACCCUACGGAGUGGGAAAGCACCCAGUAUCCCUAAUAGGCAGCACUGCCUUCCCUCACCUGCUGCACACUGCUGGCUGCUAGAAGCCAAGGAGCUUUACUGUGUGCCUUAAGGGUGGUGUUUAAAAAAUCAGCAAAGAGAGAAGGGAAGGUAAACUGGCAGCUAAACCUGCCCCAGGUGCAGGCUUUGAAAGGAACAUGGCUGCGGUAGGAUCCUUGCAGGCUGCAAUAUGAAAUGCUUUCCACAGCCUGAAAUCAAAGGCAGCCUAAGGUGCUGCAGAUGAGCUAGGAGAGGCUGCCUGAGGAACCAGGAAAUUCAAGGAUGCAACAGGGUUAUCAGCGAGGACCCCCAGCUGUGCUGCAGCCAGCCCCACACCUGCAGGGCCUUUGGCACCGUGUCACCUACUUACACUGCCUGCUCCUCCAGCUCCCCGCCGAUGCGCUGGGACAUGUUCUUCAGCACCCCAAUGCUGCCAGAGACCAGCUCCAACUGCUCAUCUUGCUGCUCCACAAUCAACUGGGGCCAAAAAGAAGGAAAAAUGGGUGAUUAUACAUCUGCUUCCUUCUGCAGCUGGGUCACAGCCAGCUGCUCAUGUGGACGGAUGCUCACCACUCUGCCAACAUCAACUGUGGUGCCUGGAAACAGACCUAAGGUUCCAGGAACAAGGACCAUGUUUCUAAGAAAUGCAUGAGAAGUGGCAGCAGCAGGAGAGCCUACCCCUGUUCCUGUGGCACAGGUGGCUGCAGCUUCCUCAACCAUGCCUCCAAAUUCAGCCUCGGCUUAGCAGUGCCCCUUCCCCGCUGCGUCCACCUCUAAGAUGACUCUUUGAAGGCAGCAGAACCUCAAGCUUUGCUGCCCAGAGCAGGAGUCCUGCUGAGGCUGUGUAUGGGAAACUCUGCAGUUAACGAGGGGUUAACACAAGUAAGAGGCUGUUGCAGCUUCUACAGCUAAAAAUAACCCGUCUGGCUCUGAAUGUGCCAAAGGAAUAGGUCUGCUGAUGGUUUAAGUCACUUUCAGGGCACAAUCACGCUAAGGAUUAGCUUUACCCUAGUUACCUACUUUGGAAUCUAUUUAUCUUCCUAGAGUCACUAGGUAAAACUCAUCUGAAAGCUGGCUGGCGUCAUGUAUCAGAAGCUCCAGCAGAGCUUGCUGCCUGGAGAAGCUGCCUAUAUACAGGCCUGUGUCUGGGUGGGCUGCUGGAGGCGGAUCUGCGCUGCUCGGGCGCUGCUCCAGGGGAGCACCUCGCCAGGGUUCCUUGCAAAGCCCUCACGCAGGCUUUCUCACGAAUCUCAUGUUGACAAGGGCAGGAAAAGGAAGCAGGCACGUACUCCUGCUCCCUGUCUGUUCUGAUGGGGAUGCACACAAACAGCAGCAAACACCAGCUCAUUUUUUAACGAAAGUUUAGUAAGAUAAAUGAAUGCUCUUCUGGAUGCAACGUUUCUACUCUUCCAAGGAUUUGAGCAAUUCUUCUAGUGCUAAAACUCAGCGUGCUGCUGCUUCCAGACUUUGUUUGCCUUCUGUACGUAAGUGGAAGACAAGCCUCAAUGGUUAAAAACUGCACCAAGCAAGACGCAUCUAAAGCUAUGCUGUACAUGGAACAUAUGCACAGGUGUACUUUAAGCUAUCAGGUUGUCAGGCUCCUGGAUCCAGGCCAGCUGAGGGCUGGAUUUUUUCUGGCUCCUGAAGUCUGUACCCCAUCCCCCUGACACCCAUUUGGCAAGCAAAGCUAUUCCGCCUGUGUUGUGCCAGCUGCCUUACCUGUUGUUGAGCUUGCUGCUCCUCAAUGAAGUGUGAAUUUGCUAAUUGCAGCUCCCGGUCCAGACGGCUGUAUUUGUCAGGUCCAGAGCUCCAACUCUGACUGCUGCUUUCACCCAGGAGUGCCUAAACAGAUGCAGAAGUCCCUUAGCAACACCUCUGUGUCUGUUCACAGCUGGUCUCAGGGAAGGAGGACAAGGCAACGCUCCUGUGCACAUGCCUACAGCAUCCUUUUCCUCCCCCUCUACUGUUCAGCCAGAGUGCUGGCACAAACUAAAACAAUGCAGUGCCAAAUGCUAGCAUGGGAAAUAUCUGCAGCAUGAUUACUGCAGAAAUGCUGUUCCGCUAACGGGAGAGCUGGAGCACAACUGACAGACAGCGCAAGCAGAAGGCCUGCACCACCCAAAGGACUAGUAAAGGUCUGUUCAAGAUGAAGCACUGUGUGCUAGGAGGACGUGUGAGCUGGGAAGUAUCCAGAUACAUCUUGUUACCAGGUGUACAGAUGGAACUGAACGCCAUGCUGCUUAUGGGCUGAAGGUCUGGAUAAAGUACUUAACCAGAUGAGCUGACAGUAGAACAGUGCAAUAUAAACACAGCAGUGUUGUAGGCAGGACUUAUGUUCUUUCAUUCAGGUUACCUGUUACGCUGCAAGUAUGCCACACUGCGAGAUUACGCUCUCUACCUGCUCUACGACCUCAACAGAGAAGCUAGUGCAAAUCCAGCAGAGAAGUGGCUUUCCAGCUGAGGACAUCUGGUCCCUGGAAGGAAGCUCUGACGCAGCUUCCGGAGGGAAGUCUGUGUUUGCCAGCCUUAGUCCAUGAGGAUCAGGUCACCAUCAGCCAAAAGCUGGCCUCUCAGACACAGAGACAUGCUGGAGAAGCUGCUGUAGCCCUGCCCAGCUGAGGCUCUGUGGACUUGAGGGAAGGCGAGGGGCUGGGGAAGGAAGAUGGCAAGGGGAAAUGAGUUUUCCUGACCAGAUGUCUCUGCGUGAGCUGGGCCAUAUGGUCUCCUGCAGCUAGCAGCUUUAAGUAAAGCAACAAAACUUAGAGACAGCUACAGGCUUGUUUGAGCAAGGCAGUAAGGGCCUUUGCUUCUCCAAGUUUUUGCCAAGCACGUCAGUUAAGCCUGUAACAGGCUGACAAACCAGCUCUGUGCUUCUCAGUAUCUUCUUGCAGUUUGCCAUUUUUGCCACAGGUGAUAAAGACUGACGCAGCCAGAUACAGCACACCAACUCUGACAGAGGCAGCUCUGGAAGUCAGCUCAAAGAUCUCCUUACAGUCUCACCGGCCAGGGAGAAGCAAAAGCUGCAUCUAUUUCUAUUCCUUAGAUUACAAGUGCAGACAACCUGAGGCUCCUUGAGCUUCUUCCAUCUUCUUACAAGGUUAAUGAUCAUGUGAGGCAGCUAUUUGUGAAGGGAUGUGGCGUCCUGGCUCCUAAAUACAGCAGAGCACAGGAUUACAUGUACGGAAUUGGAUUCUGACUGUUCCUCCUGAGGUGGAGGGAGAUUCCCCCUUCUUCAGGGUGAUGCAACGCUGAUGGCUGUACACAAGCAUUUCUGAAGAUGGAGACAGAUGGUGAGUGGUGACUUACUGCUUUGAGAGACAGGUUUGAAAGAGGGAGGCAGCAAUGAGCCUGACAGAACCAACGCUCUCAGAUCAGUGAGACAGACAUGGCCCAAACACACAGCUUUGCUGCAGCAUGCAAACCCUUUCUCAGAACAAAUGUUUGUAAGGUGAUGUGCUACAAAAUGGGAUAUAUAUGGCACUUACAGCUAGAAAGGAGCUUUAGCCAAUGCUAUAUGCUCUACCUUAUGGUGUGGGUCUCCAGUCUAAGUGAUACAAAAGCUACACCUAACACGUCUCAAAACAGCUGUCAGAGCUGAUAAACCCUUCUAGCUCUUUAAAGUACCAAAUAACCACUGCAUUCACUUAGCUUGCCCACUUCUGAUUCUCACCUGCCUGUUUUUUCUUUCAGCCAGUGCUUGCAUGGAGGAGUUUGACAUCUGAUCCUUCAUUUCCUGUUUGUUCAAAGAAAGAAGAAGUACGUAAGCAUUGGAUUUGAGUUCCUACAGAAGACAGCCACAGGAGGCUCCUACUCCCAGUGCAAACCAGUUUAGUUUCUAUAGGGCAGAUGAGCCCUACAGGAGCCAUGGAGCCAGUAUGAUCCAGCAGGUGCUGAUUCACCUUACCCACCACCAGAGUUCUGAUGUCACCAGAAGACAGUUCUCCAAUGCUGUGCAGUGCUUUCAGCUGAACACAAGGGAAAAGGAAUAACUUUGGAAGCCAGCCUGGAGUAUGAGUGACUACACAGAAAUCCAAAUUCACACAAUGCAACAGGCUUCUAAGAACAAAGCGUCUUAUAAUAUACCUUGUCAAAGGGAAAACAAAAGGCAGAGGGAAAUUCUUUUGCUGAACUCAUUUGCUGUUCGAGCAAAGCUGAGGUAAAUGCAAAAUUCAAUCCCUGAUAGUCUCGGUGUCUGCAAAAAUUAACUACCAGCAAGAGCUGGUACGUAGCUAUUUCUUACAGCCUGGGAACUGCAUGCCCCAACCUCCAAAGAACUCCAGAAAGGAUAUUAA